UGCUUUGUAGCCGAGACGGUGUUUCUAACGCUUGCAGAAAGUAUGGUGUGGGAUGACAGAUGAUGCCGGCUAGACAAGGCAAGUUCUCAUGUCCUUACCACCUUUCUUCCAGAGGUCUGUUUUCUAGCACAGACUGUUCUGUAUAAUUCCUAGUAAUCUAGGAUAGUCCCCAGAAUAAACAGAGAGAAAGGCCAAGAGGAGAGCAACUAGAACACAGAGAACAGAGACAGAAUGUAGAUGGAAAGUCACCAGACUCCUCCCUCUUAAAUUCUCUAUAUAAAGUGGGUCAAAUUACUAAGAGAUCAAAUUAUGAUAAAUUAGAAUCCAAUUCUCUUUAAGCCAUAAUGAAAUGAUUUUUAAAAUUUUAUCUAU
rnacentral:lncRNA from 1 species